rnacentral:rRNA from 1 species
AUGGUACGAGGCCUGCCAUGCCUCGGCCAUGUGGAGCAGUUCUGCGACAUCUGCGUAUUGACGAAGCAGAGACGACUCCCCUUUCCCAAACAGGCGAGUUUUCGGGCCAAGGAGAAGUUGGAGCUCGUGCACGGAGACUUGUGCGGCCCGGUGACGCCAGCCACACCAGGACGUCGACGCUACUUCCUGCUGCUCGUCGACGAUCUCUCUCGCUACAUGUGGGCGAUGAUUCUCGGCAGCAAGGGAGAAGCGGCGGACGCCAUCAGGCGCGCGCAGGUUGGUGUGGAGGCGGAGAGCGGCCGCAAAUUGCGCGUGUUGCGCACUGACAACGGCGGCGAAUUCACGGCGGCUGAAUUCGCGUCGUACUGUGCCGAUGAGGGCAUCCAGCGCCACUACUCCACGCCGUACAGCCCGCAGCAAAACGGAUUCGUCGAGCGGCGCAACCAGACGGUUGUGGGGAUGGCUCGGGCUCUCCUCAAGCAGAGAGGGAUGCCGGCUGUUUUCUGGGGAGAGGCGGUGCUGACGGCCGUCUACAUCCUCAACCGCUCGCCUACUAAGGCACUCGACGGCAGGACACCGUACGAGGCCUGGCAUGGGCGGAAGCCGGCGGUCUCCCAUUUGCGGGUCUUUGGCUGUCUUGCGUUCGCUAAGGAGCUCGGCCACAUCGGCAAGCUCGACGACAGGAGCACUCCGGGAGUCUUCAUCGGCUACGCGGAGGGCUCAAAGGCCUACCGCAUCCUCGACCCAAAGACACAGCGUGUGCGCACGGCGCGAGACGUUGUGUUCAACGAAGGGCGAGGGUGGCAAUGGGACAAGGCGGUGGACGACGGCUCGACGCUGACGUAUGACGACUUCAUUGUCGAGUACGCCCACUUCAAGGAAGCCGGGGGAGCAAGCAGCUCCUCUUCGCCGGACACGUCUACCCCGGCCCCCAAAACUACAUCGACUCCGGUGCCUGCUACGCCGACGGCACCACAACUGGCGACGCCGCAUACUCCAGCCCCGGCAGUCACCACUCCGGGUUCGUCUUCAUCAGUACCAGCUCACGCAGAGCGCAACCCGAGAAGUUCGCUUCCCCGCUCACUCACGACGAGGAGUGUGUCGACGCGUAUUAUGGAGGCGAACAGCUGCGGUAUUGCAUGA